GGGGCACUAGUCCAAGAAAGACAGUUGAUUUCGACUCAACUAAUUAUGGUUUAAAUCCAUAGUACCCCU
rnacentral:tRNA from 1 species